UCGCAAGUUCACCAGUUUGACGGCGAGGGGGAAGAAGCUGUUCCUCUGACGGGAGGUUCUGGUCUGGAUGACAAUAGCCUCCUGCCAGAGGGAAGAGGAUCGAACAGUCCAUUUUUCUAGAGCUUUUAUAAUGCUUUUUUAUAAUAAUAAUAGUGCUUUAAAAACAAGACCCCGGCGGCAUCUGUGACGUCACCUUCACCACAUUUCUUUCACCACAUUUGAGCACUUUGUUCAUGAGUGGUUCUACUUGAACGCGACCUGGGUCGGAUCAGUACUUCAGGUUGGGACUGGCAGCCGAACCCAGUUCCGCUCCUAAAAGCCAUUAAUCUGCUGCAAAAAGGAGAUCCGGGAACCCAGGAGGUGCCUGGUGCUGAUGAAACAGCCAAACUGUUCCGGCCGCUCCUCAGCCUGAUGGUUUCCUGCAGCUGAUCAUGGCUCUUCUGCCCCGCGUCCCUCAUCACCUGAAGCCUGCUGUGCAGCCACCUCCGGUUUCACUUCUUAAUCUCACUUUUUAGAGGGAAAAAAUAGAGGAAAUGAUGAAAGACAGUUAUCGACUCUGCGUGGUCCAAGUAUUGAUCCGAGCGAUAUGUGAUCCAACAUCCUUUCUGCCUCGCCUCGGCUGGCGUGUUGACGCUCGACUAUUUCAAGAGCAGCAUAUGUGAGCAUUAAAUAUUCAUGCGAUCAAGAGCACUCACUGUAUGGCAGCAUUUAUGUCUAUAGAUUUUUCAUGUCUGGAUUUGUGCCGCAGCACAACAACCAUUUCAGUAACACAAAACCGUGCAUUUGUCCUGCGUGGUGCUGCGACUUUCCUGAAGUCAGAGGUCGGCUCUUCGAACCAACAAUCCCCGGAGCUUAUCGAUUUA